GGAGGAGGAGGUGGUGGUGGCGGAGCCAGUGAGUUUGACCAACAUUGAAACAAUGCUACGAAAUGUUCAUGCAUUCCGUGAACUUUCACCUGCAGAAGAAAAACAGUGGGCCCGCAUGUUCGAACAAUGCAACGUUGCUGUCACCCCAGGAAAUAAGCUGUCAGUAUUCUCAGCUAUGGUCACCUUUCUUCAGGUGAAGACAUCUGAGAGGAUGACCAACAAAUCAUUCGAUGCGAUGUUUGCUGCUUUCCGCAAAUCUUUCCCAGAUGCGUUUGAGCUUCCACACACCUACAGUAAAAUGAAGAAUUUCCUUCGUGCAGUUGGAAUUGGGUAUGAUAUGAUCCAUGUUUGUAAGAAUAAUUGUGUUCUAAUCCGGAAGGAUUAUGCCAACUUAAGUGAAUGCCCGAAAUGCAAAUCAUCAAGAUGGAAAGAUGGCGAUGCUAUGAAGAGGGUUCCUCAUAAUGUUCUGAGACAUUUUCCAAUUACACCAAGCUUGCAGAGGUUGUUUCAUGAUGCUGAAACAAGAGAGGAUGUACUGUGGCAUUCUAGGAACCAGGAGUGCAGAGAUCAGAAUGUAAUGAGCCAUCCAUAUCAUGGUAGUGAGUGGAAAAGCUUCAAUGAUAAACACAAAGAGUUUUUUGCUGACCCGAGAAACAUUAGACUUGGCUUAGCUUCAGAUGGAUUUAACCCAUUUGGCCACUAGAGCGCCACAUAUAGCAUGUGGCCAGUGCUUGUUAUCCCUUACAACAUGCCUCCAAAUGUCUGCACCAAAGAAUCAAACUACAUGAUGGCCUUUCUCAUCCUAGGUCCAAGAAGUCCUGGAAAGGAUUUUGAUUUGUUCAUGGAGCCUCUUGUGGAGGAACUUUAACAGCUAUGGAAGGGUGUUCCCACUCGAGACCUAUAUAGCAGCCCACUAGCUGAUUUCUUUCUGCAUGUUGUGAUGUCUACUACACAACCUUGUUCUUGUAGACGUUGUUGGGCCUGCAAGUGCACAAGUUUGUAGGACAGUAGCAAAUUUCCCUCACGUGGAUGACCUAAGGUUUAUCAAUCUAUAGGAGGCGUAGGAUGAAGAUGGUCUCUCUCAAACAACCCUGCAACCAAAUAACAAAGAGACUCUUGUGUCCCCAACACACCCAAUACAAUGGUAAAUUGUAUGGGUGCACUAGUUCGGCGAAGAGAUGGUGAUACAAGUGCAAAAUAGAUAGUAGAAGUAGGUAUUUGUAAUCUGAAAUAAUAAAAACAGCAAGGUAACGAGCGAUAAAAGUGAGCGUAAACGGUAUUGCAAUGAUAGGAAACAAGGCCUAGGGUUCAUACUUUCACUAGUGCAAGUUCUCUCAACAAUAAUAACAUAGAUAGAUCAUAUAACAAGCCCUCAACAUGCAACAAAGAGUCACUCCAAAGCCACUAAUAGCGGAGAACAAACGUAGAGAUUAUGGUAGGGUACGAAACCACCUCAAAGUUAUUCUUUCGGAUCGAUCUAUAGAAGAGUUAGUACUAGAAUAACACCUUAAGACACAAAUCAACCAAAACCCUAAUGUCACCUAGAUACUCCAUUGUCACCUCAAGUAUCCGUGGGCAUGAUUAUACGAUAUGCAUCACACAAUCUCAGAUUCAUCUAUUCAACCAACACAAAGUACUUCAAAGAGUGCCCCAAAGUUUCUACUGGAGAGUCAAGAACGUGUGCCAACCCCUAUGCAUAGGUUCAUGGGUGGAACCCGCAAGUUGGUCACCAAAACAUACAUCAAGAGGCACAUGAUAUCCCAUUGUCACCACAGAUAAGGAUAAGCACGGCAAGACAUACAUCAAGUGUUCUCAUAAAAGACUCAAUCCGAUAAGAUAACUUCAAAGGGGAAACUCAAUUCAUCACAAGAGAGUAGAGGGGGAGAAACAUCAUAAAAUCCAACUACAAUAGCAAAGCUCGGGAUACAUCAAGAUCGUGCCAUAGAGAGAACACGAGAGAGAACAUGAGAGAGAGAGAGAUCAAACACAAGUUUAUGCGCUAUUCUGUAAGGGACCGAUUGGACCCAAAAGUUUAAUGCUAUGGUUAGAAUUUAUUCUUAAUACUUUUCUCGUAGUUGUGGAUGCUUGCGGGAGGGUUAAUCAUAAGUAGGAGGUUUGUUCAAGUAAGAACAGCACCUAAGCACCGGUCCACCCACAUAUCAAAUUAUCAAAAUAGCAAACACGAAUUAAACCAACAUGAUGAAAGUGACUAGAUGCAAUUACCGUGUACCCUCAAGAACGCUUUGCUUAUCAUAAGAAACCAUUUUGGCAUGUCCUUUGCCUCAAAAGGAUUGGGCUACCUUGCUGCACUUUUGUUACUACUAUCGUUAUUUGCUCGUUACAAAUUAUCUUGCUAUCAAACUACUAUGCUACUAACAAUUUCAGCACUUGCAGACGUUACCUUACUGAAAACUCCUUGUCAUUUCCUUCUGCUCCUCGUUGGGUCCGACACUCUUACUUAUUGAAAAGAGCUACAAUUGAUCCCCUAUACUCGUGGGUCAUCAAGCCAAAAGAUGCAAAGUUAAUAAUGAUAAUGCAACUUAUUUGUGGCACUGUCGUUUAGGUCAUAUUGGUGUAAAGCGCAUGAAGAAACUCCAUGCUGAUGGGCUUUUGGAAUCACUUGAUUAUGAGUCACUUGAUACUUGCGAACCAUGCCUUAUGGGAAAGAUGACUAACACUCCGUUCUCCGGAACAAUGGAGCGAGCAACUGACUUAUUGGAAAUAAUACAUACUGAUGUAUGCAGUCCGAUGAGUGUGGAGGCUCGCGGCGGGUAUCGUUAUUUUCUGACCUUCACAGAUGAUUUGAGCAGAUAUGGUAUAUCUACUUGAUGAAACAUGAGUCUGAAACAUUUGAAAAGUUCAAAGAAUUUCAGAGUGAAGUGGAAAAUCAUCGUAACAAGGAAAUAAAGUUUCUACGAUCUGAUCGUGGAGGAGAAUAUUUAAGUUAUGAGUUUGGUCUUCAUUUGAAACAAUGUGGAAUAGUUUUGCAACUCACGCCACCUAGAACACCACAGCGUAAUGGUGUGUCCGAACGUCGUAACCGUACUUUAUUAGAUAUGGUGCAAUCUAUGGUGUCUCUUACUGAUCUACCGCUACCAUUUUGGGGUUAUGCUUUAGAGACGGCUGCAUUCACGUUAAAUAGGGCACCAUCUAAAUCCAUUGAGACGACACCAUAUGAAUUGUGGUUUGGCAAGAAACCUAAGAUGUCCCUUCUUAAAGUUUGGGGCUGUGAUGCUUAUGUGAAAAAGCUUCAACCUAAUAAGCUUGAACCCAAAUCGGAGAAAUGUGACUUCAUAGGAUACCCAAAGGAGACUGUUGGGUACACCUUCUAUCACAGAUCCAAAGGCAAAAUAUUCGUUGCUAAGAAUGGAUCCUUUCUAGAGAAGGAGUUUCUCUCAAAAGAAGUGACUGGGAGGAAAGUAGAACUUGAUGAGGUAAUAGUACCUUCUCCCGAAUUGGAAAGUAGUUCAUCACCGAAAUCAGUUCCAGUGAUUCCUAGAGCAAUUAGUGAGGAAGUUAAUGAUGAUGAUCAUGAAACUUCAGAUCAAGUUACUACCGAACCUCGUAGGUCAACCAGAGUAUGUUCCGCACCAGAGUGGUACGGUAAUCCUGGUCUGGACAUCAUGUUACUAGACCAUGACGAACCUACGAACUAUGAGGAAGCGAUGAUGAGCCCAGAUUCCGCGAAAUGGCUUGAGGCUUUGGUCGACUUGCCCGAUGAUCGGCAAGCCAUAAAGAAUAAAUGGAUCUUCAAGAAGAAGACUCACGCUGACGGUAAUGUUAGUGUCUACAAAGCUCGACUUGUUGCGAAAGGUUUUCGACAAGUUCAAGGAGUUGACUACGAUGAGACCUUCUCACCCAUAGCGAUGCUUAAGUCUGUCCGAAUCAUGUUAGCAAUUGCCGUAUUUUAUGAUUAUGAAAUCUGGCAAAUGGAUGUCAAAACUGCAUUCCUUAAUGGAUAUCUUAAAGAAGAGUUGUACAUGAUGCAACCAGAAGGUUUUGUCGAUCCUAAAGGUGCUAACAAAGUGUGCAAGCUCCAGCGAUCCAUUUAUGGACUGGUGCAAGCCUCUCGGAGUUGGAAUAUACGCUUUGAUAGUGUGAUCAAAGCAUAUUGUUUUAUACAGACUUUUGGAGAAGCCUGUAUUUACAAGAAAGUGAGUGGGAGCUCUGUAGCAUUUCUAAUAUUAUAUCUGGAUGACAUAUUGUUGAUUGAAAAUCAUACAUAAUUUCUGGAUAGCAUAGAAGGAUACUUGAAUAAGAACUUUUCAAUGAAAGACCUCGGUGAAGCUGCUUACAUAUUGGGCAUCAAGAUCUAUAGAGAUAGAUCAAGACGCUUGAUAAGAUUUUUCAAUGAGUAGAUACCUUGACAAGAUUUUGAAGUAGUUCAAAAUGGAACAGUCAAAGAAGGAGUUGUUGCCUGUGUUGCAAGGUGUAAAGUUGAGUAAGACUCAAAAGUCGACCACUGCAGAAAAUAGAAAGAGAAUGAAAGUCAUUCCCUAUGCCUCGGCCAUAGGUUCUAUAAAGCAUGCUAUGCUGUGUACCAGACCUAUGGUGUACCUUAUCAUGAGUUUGGCAAGGGGGUACGAUAGUGAUCCAGGAGUGGAUCACUGGACAAUGGUCAAAGUUAUCCUUAGUUACCUAAGAGGACUAGGGAAAUGUUUCUCGGUUAUGGAGGUGAUAAAGAGUUCCUCGUAAAGAGUUACGUCGAUGCAAGCUUUUACACCGAUCCGGAUGACUCUGAGUCUCAAUCUAGAUACAUAUUGAAAGUGGGAGCAAUUAGCUAUAGUAGCUCCGUGCAAAGCAUUGUAGACAUAGAAAUUUGCAAAAUACUGACGGAUCUAAAUGUGGCAGACCCGUUGACUAAACCUCUCUCACAAGCAAAACAUGAUCACACCUUAGUACUCUUUGGUUGUUAAUCACAUAGCAAUCUGAACUAGAUUAUUGACUGUAGUAAACCCUUUGGGUGUUGGUCACAUGGCGAUGUGAACGAUGGGUGUUAAUCACAUAAAGAUGUGAACUAUUGGUGUUAAAUCACAUGACGAUGAAACUAGAUUAUUGAUCCUAGUGCAAGUGGGAGACUGAAGGAAAUAUGACCUAGAGGCAAUAAUAAUGUUGUUAUUUAAUAUUUCCUUAUAUCAUGAUAAAUAUCUAUUAUUCAUGCUAGAAUUGUAUUAACCAGAAACUUGAUACAUGUGUGGAUACAUAGAUGAAACAGUGUCCCUAGUAAAGCCUCUACUAGACUAGCUCGUUAAUCAAAGAUGGUUAAGUUUCCUAACCAUAGACAUGUGUUGUCAUUUGAUGAACGGGAUCACAUCAUUAGGAUAAUGAUGUCAUGGACAAGACCCAUCCGUUAGCUUAGCAUAAUGAUCAUUAAGUUUUAUUGAUAUUGCUUUCUUCAUGACUUAUACAUGUUCCUCUGCUAUGAGAUUAUGCAACUCCCGAAUACCGGAGGAACACCUUGUGUGCUAUCAAAUGUCACAACGUAAAUGGGUGAUUAUAAAGAUGCUCUACAGGUGUCUCCGAAGGUGUUUGUUGGGUUGGCAUAGAUCGAGAUUAGGAUUUUUCACUUCGUGUAUCGGAGAGGUAUCUCUGGGCCCUCUCGGUAAUGCACAUCACUAUAAGCCUUGCAAGCAAUGUUACUAAUGAGUUAGUUGCGGGAUGAUGCAUUAUGGAACGAGUAAAGAGAUGAUGUAUACUACGCAACCUUCUCCUUGCAGACGUUGUUGGGCCUCCAAGUGUAGAGGUUUGUAGGACAGUAGCAAAUUUCCCUCAAGUGGAUGACCUAAGGUUUAUCAAUCGGUGGGAGGUGUAGGAUGAAGAUGGUCUCUCUCAAGCAACCCUGCAACCAAAUAACAAAUAGUCUCUUGUGUCCCCAACACACCCAAUACAAUGGUAAAUUGUAUAGGUGCACUAGUUCGGCGAAGAGAUGGUGAUACAAGUGCAAUAUGGAUGAUAGAUAUGAGUAUUUGUAAUCUGAAAAUAUAAAAACAGCAAGGUAACAAGUGGUAAAAGUGAGCGUAAACGGUAUUGCAAUGCUAGGAAAGAAGGCCUAAGGUUCAUAGUUUCACUAGUGCAAGUUCUCUCAAAAAUAAUAACAUAAUUGGAUCAUAUAACAGUCCCUCAACAUGCAACAAAGAGUCACUCCAAAGUCACUCAUAACGGAGAACAAACGAAGCGAUUAUUGUAGGGUACGAAACCACCUCAAAGUUAUCCUUUCUGAUCGAUCUAUUCAAGAGUCCGUAGUAAAAUAACAUGAAGCUAUUCUUUCCGUUCGAUCUAUCAUAGAGUUCGUACUAAAAUAACACCUCAAGACACAAAUCAACCAAAACCCUAAUGUUACCUAGAUACUCCAAUGUCACCUCAAGUAUCCGUGGGUAUGAUUAUAUGAUAUGCAUCACACAAUCUCAAAUUCAUCUAUUGAACCAACACAAAGAACUUCAAAGAGUGCCCCAAAGUUUCUACCGGAGAGUCAAGACGAAAACGUGUGCCAACCCCUAUGCAUAAGUUCACAAGGUCACUGAACCCGCAAGUUGAUCACCAAAAACAUACAUCAAGUAGACCACGUGAAUAUCCCAUUGUCACCACAGAUAAACACAUGCAAGACAUACAUCAAGUGUUCUUAAAUCCAUAAAUACUCAAUCCGAUAAGAUAACUUCGAAGGGAAAACUCAAUCCAUUACAAGAGAGUAGAGGGGGAGAAACAUCAUAAGAUCCAACUAUAAUAGCAAAGCUCAUGAUACAUCAAGAUCGUGCCAAAUCAAGAACACGAGAGAGAGAGAGAGAUUAAACACAUAGCUACUGGUACGUACCCUCAGCCCCGUGGGUGAACUACUCCCUCCUCGUCAUGGAGAGCGUCGGGAUGAUGAAGAUGGCCACCGGAGAGGGAUUCCCCCCUCCGACAGGGUGCCGGAACGGGUCUAGAUUGGUUUUUGGUGGAUCUGGAGGUUUGCGACGGCAGAACUCCCGAUCUAGGUUUCUUUCUGGAAGUUUGGGUAUAUAUGAGAGGUAUUGGUAUCAGGAACAAGUCAGGGGGGUCUCUGGGCUGUCCACGAGGCAGGGGGUGUGCCCAGGGGGGGUGGACAUGCCCCUGCCCUCGUGGGCUUCCCGGGACUCUUCUGGUCCAUCUCCGAUGCUCCGUGGGCUUCUUCUGGUCCAAAAAUAAUCUCCAUCAAAUUUCAGGUCAAUUGGACUCCGUUUGGUUUUCCUUUUCUACGAUACUCAAAACAAGGAAAAAUUAGAAACUGGCAAUGGGCUCUGGGUUAAUAGGUUAGUCCCAAAAAUCAUAUAAAAUAGCAUAUAAAUGCAUAUAAAACAUCCUAGAUGGAUAAUAUAAUAGCAUGGAACAAUAAAAAAUUAUAGAUACGUUGGAGACAUAUCAAGAGACUUGCCGGGAACGAGAUUGAACUAGGUAUGAUGAUACCGAUGAUCGAAUCUCGGGCAAGUAACAUACCAAUGACAAAGGGAACAACGUAUGUUGUUAUGCGGUUUGACCGAUAAAGAUCUUCGUAGAAUAUGUAGGAGCCAAUAUGAGCAUACAUGUUCCGCUAUUGGUUAUUUACCGGAGAUGUGUCUCGGUCAUGUCUACAUAGUUCUCGAACCCGUAGGGUCCGCACGCUUAACGUUCGAUGAUGAUUUGUAUAAUGUGUUAUGUGAUUUGAUGACCGAAGUUUGUUCGGAAUCCCGGAUGAGAUCACAGACAUGACGAGGAGUCUUUGGUCGAGACAUAAAGAAUGAUAUAUUGGACGAUGUUAUUCGGACACCGGAUGAGUUCGGAGAGGUACCGGGUAACUAUCAGAGUGCCAGAGGGUUAUCGGAACCCCCGGGGGAACUAAUGGGCCUUAGUGGAGAGAGAGAGGAGGGCCGCAAGGGGCUGGCCGCACCCCCUUGGCAGUCCUAAUUGGACUAGGCACUACUAGGGAAAACCUUAUACACAGAACUUUAGCAGUAGCAUGGGUCAAAAAUGCAUGCUGGUGCUAAAUAGCAGCAGCGCGCCUGCCGAAACCGCGCUAUAGAUAAUGUCGUAGCAGUAGCGCGUCUCGGUGAAUACACGUUACUACUAAAAUUCUCACGGCUUAGCCGAUAUGGUACACAUAGUAGUAGCGAUCUAUAUGGAAUCGCGCUACUGCUACUUUCUUUGUAGCAGCGCGUUUUGCUCUAAACUCGCUACUACUAAAGGAUAUAAAAUUAAAUGAAAAGCAAAUAGAAAGGUAACUGAAAAUGAAAGAAAUAGAAGAAGGUGAAAGGAAAAAAAUAAAAUGUGAAGAAAAAUAAAUGAAAAAGGGAAAAAGGAGAAAGUAGUAGCAGUAGCGCGUAUCCCAGAACGCGCUGUAGCUAACGUAGCAGCAGCGCGCUUUCAGGAAAGCGCUACUACUACUUCUGACUUAACCACCGCGUUCGUCCUUCCCCAUGGGCACUUCCCCCAAAACAAACUCCUCCGCUCUCGCCGCCGCCGUCGCCCGUCGGUCGCCGCGCACUCUCCGCACACCCUCUACGCUGCCCCCGACCCCGGAUUCAACGCCGCCCCCGCCCCCGACCUCAAUGCUGCCCCGGACGCCGCCCCGGACGCCGCCCCCGACCUCAACGCCGCCCCGGAUGCCGCCCCACCCCAAGCCCGACCUCGAUGCCGCCUGCCCCUCUCUCGCCGCAGGCACCCGAUCAAGGUGAGCACGCCUGCUCCUCCCCCUCCCCUACCUCUGCCUAGAUAGGUCUCUUCAAAUUUUAGUUGCAUCAAAUAGUUAGGGUUCAUCUAUGGGUGGAAAUUAAUUGGAUACAGAUGCGGCUGGGAUUUUUUCUUAGGUGAUGUUUUCUUAAAUGAUGAAUAAACACUAGUGUAAUGCAUAAUAAAACGAGUAAAAUUUGACCUUCUUCUAUUUAGUUAGUAAGAACUAGUUAGUAAGAACUAGGUACUAAUUAGGUGAUUUUUUAGUUAAAGCAAUUUUACCCACCUCGUCGUGGACGAUGCCUAUCCCGCAUCCUCGUCAUUGAGUCGGCGGAGGACAACACCUGCUUGACCAGAUCGGCCAUGUCCGGGACUGGGCUCCGCCGGGGUGGUACUGGGAGGCGCUACCUACCGGAGGGCGCAGGUUGGUGAGGAGCCAGCCUGUCGUUGACCCGAACCUUCUUUGGUGGCGGUCGCAUGGGCCAGUGAUGAUCCAGAGGCUCGAGGACUCCGCGGAGGUGGUGCGUCACCGUGUCAGUGAGGAGGACGCGCACGUCUGUCGCUACUUGUUUGCGUUGGAGCAUAGGUCGUUCUCCAAUACCUGGCAUGUUCUCCGGGGAUCUCACUGGACCUAUGAUCCCGUGAUGGUGCCUUCUCUGUGGGUGUCCACCGCCCGCGCCGAUACCCUUCGUGUGCUAGAGUUUUAGUUGUAUUAGUGAUGUUAUAUGUAUGACACUAUUCGUGAUGUAUUAGUGAUAAUAUUCGACGAUGUACUGACGCAUGAGAUGAUUUACUUUUGCUUAUUGAAUGCAUGCUAAUUUGAGUCCUAUAAGAUAUUUUGAAAUGUAUAUCUUGUGUUGCUCAAUAUCCAAGUGGCCGGUCAUGUUUGCAGGUUACACCUUUGAGUGGCCUAUGUUUUGCCGGACUGUUGAUUCAUUUCCGUUCCGGCAAAUUUCAGGCGCUCGAUAUGUCCUAUUUUAGCAAAGGUCAUGCCGGAUUUUUCCGUUAAUUUUGGCAUGACUUGUGCUAGAAUAUGUAGGAAAUAUCGAGUGCCCCGAAUUUGUGUGUUCAGUAUCUUGGUUGUCUUCGAUCGAUUUUCAAUUAAUGUUUUAACUAUGAACAUAGGAAAUGUCUGACGACGAGAAGGAUUUCGGUAUUUGCAAAUACUGCGAAGACGAGCGCGGCCUGUGCGACGGAAUCUUCCUAGAUGAUGAUAGGCGCUUCAGCAUCAAGCUGGACGAGAACUUCGAAGUGGAUACAGUAAGUCACAAUGACAAGUCUUUUUUCGUAAUUAAGCAUGAUAUCUGCUUCAUUUGCUUCAACUUAUAUUUUUUUUAUUAUUUUACUAGCGUAUCCCCUGCCAUGCAAGAGUUUUUGUAUUGGAUAAGAUAGGUUUCAGUCAUAGUAUGGAGGAAAAGAAACUUUACUUGAAGACCGAGCAUGGUUAUAUUUUCCAUGCAAAUUUAUACAAUUCAGACGACUACACCUAUUUUGGAUGCAAAACAUGGCGAGCACUAUGCAAGACUUAUGCAUUUGAGCCUGAUAUGGUUAUCACCUUUGAUAUUCGUCCGGAAGAUGAUAUUGAAGGUAAUACCGACAUCUGGGUCGAUGUGCAAAUGCCUCCAGUUAUACCAUUAUGUAAGUUUCUCAACCAUAUUUAUGUCUUUGAUAUUGUUUAUUCAAAAAUAGUUGACAACUAAUUUGUAUUGUCAGCUUAUUUCCGUGCAAGCAAACAUGUCCAGCGCUUGGUAGACAAGACCGUAUACUGUCCUGGGGCUGAACUCAACUGCGAGGAGCUCAGUCAUUAUGUUUCAUGGCUUGAGGAUCUUGACACUGUCAAGACAAAUUUUCUUCCUGCAUUUAGAAAUGUUAGUACUGAAAAUGUGCGACCAAUAGUGUUCGUAAUGAACUACGGUCACAUCUAUUUAGGAAGGAUGGUAAGAUUUUUACUAUUUGUCAUCGGUGCAUCUUUUCCAUACAUUAUUUUUGAAGCUAAACUUCAUUGCUAAGUAUGUUACCGUACGAUGUUCUUCAAUAGGGACUCCCGAUGAAUGUUGUGCCUUAUGGGAUCGAGACUAAAGGUACCAUGAGUAUUAUCAGCUUACAGCCAAGAUAUCCUACAGAUUACUUUAGUGCAUUCAAGAUUAGCGACGGAUGCUUAAUAGUGCAAGACUGGACCAAAUAUGUGAUGGGGGAGCGCAGAGAAGUACUAGGGGGCAGCAAACAGAUGCGCUACCCACGAUUAGGAGACAGGUUCAUCUGCAUGCUCCAGUUUGAUCGAGGAGGAGAGCUAUAUAUGUUUUAUGUUAUUUUACCUAAGAGAGAGCAGCAGGAGUGAUUAGCCAGCUAGAAAUGAGUUUGAGGAUGAUGAUGUGCUACACUAUUACUAUGAUGAUAAAAUAGCUAGUGUCGGUGGUAAUGACUAUGAUGAUUAUUAUUAGCUAGUGUUAGUGCUAAUUAAAUAAAUAUUGUUGGUGGUAAUGACUAUGAUGAUGAUUAAAUAGCUUGUGCUGGCGGAUUAGAUUCAAGUGGAUGCAACAUGUGGUGCACAUCGAAAGUACUACUAGUCCAAACUAGAUCAAGUUUGGAUUAGUAGUAUACUUUUGACAUGCACCACAUAUUGCCUCCACUUGAACCUAAUCCACCUUCAUUUAAUACACUGUUAUGGACAUAAUGAUGUAAACCUCAUAAUAGCUGGUAUUGUACCAAUAUUUGUAUGAUGGCGCAUAAAUACACUAAAAAUAAAAAAAUAAAAAAAUACUAGUAGCGAUGGAAAGAAAACACGCUGCAAGUAGAUACCUUAGCAGUAGCGUGGUAUUGAACAAACGCUGCAGCUAUUUGUCCUAGCAGUAGCGCGUGCUGGCACGCGUUACUGCUAAGCAAUAGUUGUAGCGCCUUAUUAGUAGCGCGGCCACCCGCGCUACUAGUGGGCACAAAACACGCGCUACUGCUAGGGUUUUCCCUAGCAGUGAGGGGAAGGGGGCGGCACCCCCCUUUACUACUACCUAUCCCUCUCCUUCCUUCCCCCUCUCUUCCGUGUAGAGGAAUCCUACAAGGACUAGGAAGUCCUAGUAGGACUACCUCUCUUGGCGCGCCUGAAAGAACAUGCGGUGCCCCCAUGUUUGGUUUUGGCAAUUGAUGACAAUCUCUAUGGACUAAUGGUUGCCUUGAGUUAUAUUUGAAGGGUUGUCCAUAGGCUUUUCUUGGAGUCCAUGUGUUGGUUUCAAGGAGUUUAUGAUUUGACCAAGGUGCUAUUAAGGAAUUAUCCAAAGAUUGGUCAUGUGAGUGUUGAGCUUAUUACAAGCAUGUCUUGAAGAAGAAGAUUAUGUGAUCAUUCAUGUUUACCUUCAAGACAUCAUCCAAAUGAAGAGAGUUGGAAAGAUUCAAGGUUAAUCUAGACUAAGUACAGAGAGUGAUUCAAGUUGAUCAACACACAAAGCGCACAAGUUGUACCGAGAGGGACCAAGUGUUCCCAUGGUAUGGUAAGCAUUGUCCAUUACACUUUGUUUACUAACCCAUGAUCUACGUGAGAGUUCUUUGUGGGGUUAGGUAUGAUUCCAUGGUCUUGCGUCAAGAGGAAGAUCCCAUACAACCCAUGGAGGAUGACAUCAAGUGGUGAUCGUCAUCAAGUUUGUUGUGUGCAAGUUCAAGUGGAGCAACACGAAGAGUGGCUCACCCAUAAUGGAGUAUGGGGGAGCAAUCAAGUUUGAAUCUUGCCAUCCAUUGUGGCGUCAAUGGAAUUGUGAAGAUGUGCCGAAGAGUCGCUCACCCAUAGUGGACUAUGGGGGAGCAAUCAUGUAGUCUUCAUCGAGCCAACGCAAUCAAGAAAGGUGGUCCAACUUGAGGGAGUCAAGAUCGUCUUCAUCUAGCUCAAGUGGACCAUGUGCAAGGCAAAGGUUUGCCCUUGAUAGGUUUUCUAUUUUACCGGUCUCGGGGUGGUAGUUGGGAGACCGGGUUAUAGGAUCGUUUGCCGUACUAUCAAGGGGGGCUCUCAAGUUGGUAGCUUGAUCGUAUCGUUAGUAGAGAGCUCAAACCAUUGCAUCCUUGCAUCAUGUUUCUUUGUUCUUAUUUGGUUCUCUUUGUGAGUCUUAGAGCUUAUGGUCAUCUUGAUGACAAGCUUGAGUUCAUCGAAAACGGAGUUCGCAUGCGUCUUCUAUGAUGUUUUCGGGGUUGGAGGUUUUACCGGUCUUAUCCAAGGAAGGGUUCUCACCAUUUUCUUAUGGGCCUUUUCUCAUUUGCUUCUUAUUGAUAUUUCUAUCAAGAUUGUGUUAGCCCUUUUUCCUAGCUUUCCAACAAACUUGGUUUCAUCGAAUUCGGAGCUCGUAUGCGAAAGUUGUGGCUGUUUUGAUAUUGCCUGUUUUACAUAGAGAGGUUGUACCGCCCCGUAGAGAGGUUGUACCGGUUGACCGGUACAACCGGUGUUUGGAGCGGUUUUACCGCUCCAGAAUUGGUCCGGAGGUUGUACCGGCCAUGUACCGCUCUAUCACCGGACUAGUUUUUGUUUUGGAGCGGUUCUUGGGCAGUUGUUGACCGGUUUAACCGGUUUAACCGGUACUACCGGUUCCCCAGGCUGUUGUACCGCUUAGAGCUUUUCCUAGGUUGGUUUUUCCUCUGCUUUGGCCGGUUGUACCGGUCGUGCACCGGUUGUACCGGUCCUAUAGGUUUCUGCACAUAACGGGCAGAUUCGUGGGGACCUAUUUAAGGGGGUCUUCUUCCCCAAUGGUUUCCCAUCUCUUGAGCUCGUUUUUGCCCCCAUUGUUGACCUUCUUCGAGCUUGCUAACUCUCAAUCCCUCCAUGGAUUCUUGCUAGUUCUUGAGGGAAAAGAGAGAGGAGAUCUAGAUCCACAUUUCCACCAAUCACUUUCUCCUCUAUGUGAGGGGAACCCCUUGGAUCUAGUUCUUGGAGUUCUUGGUGUUCUCCUUCUUGUUCUUCCUCUCAUUUUCCUCCCUAGCAUUAGUUGCUUCGGUGGGACUUGAGAGAGAAGGACUUGGGCACUCCGUGUGCCCUUGCCAUUGCAUUUGGUGCAUCGUUUUGAGUUCUCCACAGUGAUACGUGGAAGUUACAAGUUGAGAAGCUUAUUACUCUUGGGUGCUUGGUGCCCUUGAGCUUGUUCCUCUUGGGUGCUUGGGCGCCCUAGACGGUUGGUGGUGUUCGGAGCUCAAUCAUUGUGGUGUAAACCACCGGGCAAGCGUCGGGGUCUCCAAUUAGGUUGUGGAGAUCGCCCCGAGCAAUUUGACGGGUUCCGGUGACCGCCCCCAAGGGUUGCCAAAGUGUACGGGUUCGGUGACUGCCCCCAAGGGUUGCCAUUUGUAAGGGUUCGGUGACCGCCCUCAAGGGUCCCUUAGUGGAAUCACGGCAUCUUGCAUUGUGCGAGGGCGUGAGGAGAUUACGGUGGCCCUAGUGGCUUCUUGGGGAGCAUUGUGCCUCCACACCGCUCCAAACAGAGAUUAGCAUCCGCAAGGGUGUGAACUUCGGGAUACAUCGUCGUCUCCGCGUGCCUCGGUUAUCUCUUACCCGAGCCCUUUACUUAUGCACUUUACUUUGUGAUAGCCAUAUUGUUCUUUGUCAUAUAUCUUGCUAUCGCAUAGUUACUUAUCUUGCUUAGCAUAAGUUGUUGGUGCACAUAGGUGAGCCUAGUUGUUUUAGGUUUUGUGCUUGACAAAUUAACCGCUAGGUUUAUUCCGUAUUUGUUCAAGCCUAAACCGUAAUUAUUUUAAAGCGCCUAUUCACCCCCCCCUCCCACCUCUAGGCGACAUCCACGAUCUUUCAAUUAGUAUCAGAGCCUCGUCUCUCUUUAUUAGGCUUUACUGCCUAGAGAGUAAAGAUGUCAACUAGGGAUUAGGAUUCUCUGACACUCUUAGUUUCGAUGGCACAAAUUUUGAUGUUUGGGUAAUUUGCAUGCUUAAUCUCUUUAGGGUCAUGGACCCAAAUUUAGAGCGAAUUGUAGAUAUGGGUUUUUCUCCUCCCAAGGAUCCCCAAAGAUUAUCUUUAGAGGAUGAGAAAAACUCUUAUCUCAAUCCUCAAGCUUCUAAUGUGCUUUUCGAUGCUUUGAGCAAUGUAGUUAUAUUUCAACUCAUGCCGUUCCGAGAUGCUCAUGAGUUGUGGACGAAGCUUUAAGAUAAAUAUGGUGUGUCCAAGAUUUGUGGGGAUGAUUUUUCUCCCUCCACCUCCGGUCGUAUAGUCUUCUCAACUUCUUCUACUUCACCUACAUGUGGUUUUCCACAAGGUAAUGACAUGGUGAGUAGUGUUGGUCAUUGCAAUGAUGAUAGUAUGCUUGUUGUGGAUGAUCCUUCAUCACUAUAUUAUUGCAAUGCUCCUUCUUUGGGCUUUAACACUUCGAGCACUCCAAAUGUUUCACAUGCUUGUGUUGAUAGUCCUUGCAUAUCAUGUAGAAAUUGCUUGACUAAAUCUCAUGAUGAUAUGCUUGCUAUGUCUUGUUGCCAUGAUAAAAAUGCAUCUAUUUCCUCGAAUUGUUGUGCUAACAAUGUAGUGGAAACCGAACACUCCAUGGAACAAGAUGUGGUGUUUAAUGGUGCCUCAAGGGAUCCUACAUCAUCAUCUAUUGCUUUUUGCCUUAUGGCUGAGGCGUCAAAGGUAUCUCCUACUUUGUACCCCAAUAUGUCUCUUGAUGAUGAUGUUGAUGCUAAUGAUGAUAAGGAUAAUGAUGAAAGGAAUGAAUAAUGUUGCCUCCUUAAAAACUAAGGGGGAAAUGAUUUUUAAAGAUCUUCAUAAAAAUAAAAUUGCUCGUUCCAACUUCAUGGAAAUAAUAUCCAUUGCCAUUGAUGGCAAGAAAUACAUUGAGGAGUUGGAAUCUCAUCUAGAGGAGCAUGAGGCCACCAUUGAUAAAAUGGAAGGUCAUGGGCGUGAUUACGCUAAUGAGAUUGCAGACCUCUCUCAAGCUCUUGAACUUGAACAAACCACCAAGGAAUCUCUUGAGGAGACUUUUCCUCUAGAAUUGUCUAAAGUGAAGGAAUCUACUGAUAGAGCUCUUAAGGUGGCCAAUGUUUUUGAAACUAAAAAUGCUAAGCUUGAAGUUGCUCAUGCUAGACUCCUUGAGGAUUUUGAGCACCUCGGAAAUGGCUCAAGGGUCAUCAAGGGUGAGCUCAUCAAACUCACCGAGUCUCAUGCUCAACUUGAAGCUUCUUAUUUAAAAGAGCUUGCCAAGUUGCCUUCUCCUCUUGUUGUUAAUGAUGAUGCUUGUGCUACUAAUUCUAUUACUUGUGAAGCAUCCAUUUUGAAGGAGAAAGUUGAGCUACGGGCUCAACUUGAGGUGCUAUCUUGCAAUUAUGGGAAAUUGGAAGAAAGUCCUGAAAAGCUCUCAAGCUCUCAUGAUGAUCUUCUAGUAUCCCUUAGCAAUUAUGAGGCCAUGAUUGCUAAGGUAACAUCUAGUGAGCCUCAUGUGGAUACUAGCACUACUUCUAGUCAAAAUAGUAUAUUGCCAUGUGCUAGUCCUUGUAAUUCAUCUACUCACAAUGUUGGUACAUCUUGUGAUGAAUUGCUUUCCUUGCCUUGUUGCUCUAACGAUGAAGCUUAUACUUCCUCUAGUACUUGUGUUGAGACUAACCAUGUAGAGGAAAUCAAAGAGCUCAAGGCCCAAGUCACUUCUUUGAAGAAAGACUUGGAAAAGUGUCAUGAAGGGAAAUCCACACUCAACAAUAUCUUGAGUGUGCAAAAAUCCCCCAAUGACAAAGGUGGACUUGGAUUCAACUCCAAUAAGAAGAAGAAGUCCAAGUUUAAUAAAAAGAAGGGCCAAGAACAAGUCAAGAGUUCGGCCAAGAUUGUUUGCUUCAAGUGCAAAAUAGAAGGGCAUCAUGUUAGAUCUUGCCCAUUGAAGAAGAAGGCCAUUAGUGUCAAGCAACAAGGGAAGAGGGCACAAGUUCAAUCUCAUGCUCAACAUCAAGUUGAAGAAAGGCCUCUUCCCAAGAAGACUCAAGUUAAUGCUUCUCAAAUUGAGAAAUCAAGUGAGAAGAAAGUGAAGAGUAGAUGUUGCUACUUAUGUCGUGAGAAAGGUCACAUCGCUUCUUCAUGCACUAGUGGUAACUUAUCCAACCCAAUUAUUAUUGAUGAUAUCUAUUCUCUUGGUAAGGAUAAGGUUGGCAAUGUGUUUGCCAAGUUUGUUGGUACUCAAAGUGGUGUCAAGCCAAGAACCAUUUGGGUAGCCAAACCUAUUGUGACUAACCUCUUAGGACCCAACUUGGUUGGGGACCAACAAGCUCAAACUUGAUCAAUAGGUGUUGUUGGAGGGCAUUGGAGACUUGGCUACAUUAUGAAGAAUUAAGGGGACUUCAUCACUCUUAUUGUCACAAGCCAAGUCAAUUGAAUCAUCAAGUUUAUAUCUUGUAUCCAAUGUGCCUCCUUGCAGUAACUUGUACUUAAAAUUUCUUACAUUGAAAGUUACUUGCCCCCUUGCAUGUUUUGGUUUUGUUCCUUGCAUGUGUUUGUAUAUGUUGUGCUUCCAACUUGAUUAUCUUGAGCAAUCAAGUAUGUUUGUGUUGAUUUGCACAUCAUGUACUUGUGUGUCGUUCGUUGAGCCUCAGUGCAUCUUGGUUGUAUCUUAGUUGGCUCGUGUGAGAGAUUAAUGGAAUAUCCCAUUAUGGGGGAGUGAUGUGCUUUGUGCACUUCGCAAUCCUAUAAAGGUGGGUACAUGGGGAAUACCACUUAGUAUUGAUAUUACAAGAUUAUCUAGUCGCUAGGUGGUAUAUCUCUCAUGAGAAAUUCAAAUUCUAAAAAUUCCAUUGAUUAUCUCGUGUUGGAUCCUCUUUAUUGCCUCUUGUUUAGUUCUUAUUGGUAUCACAUUAUGGGGGAGUAAUAUGCUAAGUGCAUAUUACAAGCCUAGAAAAUGUGUACAUUUGAGAUAUUGUCACCUAGAAUUGAUAUUGUAAAUUAGCUUGUUCCUAGGUGGCAUAUUAGCUCUACAAGUUGCAAUUUGCUUGCGUGUGGUGUGAAGAUGAUGUUGGAUAUCCUUGCUAUCUACCACCGGGAAUUCUUUCCAUCUACUUCUUGUCUUUUGACAAUUGGUAGUCACUUAUGUGUGGUAGAAUUUAAUUGAUCAUCUUUACAUUGGCUUUUGUUUAUUUGCCUUUUUCUCUUGCCAAGGUUUUUGUUAACUCCCGUUGUCUUCCAUACCACUUGUGGAUCUUGUUUAUUUCUUGUUCUUGUCUAGUGUUUUCUAGAUAUAGUGAAAGCAGUGAUCCCACCUUGUGCAUUUUGUAUUCAAAUACAAAUCCUAUAUAAUGCACAACUCAUGGGGGAGCAAUUCUAUUUUCUUCACUCUUCUUGUGAUCCUUAUCAAGUGUGUUUUGGUGGAAGGCAAGCCAUUUCUUUUUGGUACUUUGUGCCAUCAUGAAACUUUGUUGAGAUCUUGGUAUGUUUGGAACCAUCCUCUCUUUGGGAGUUUGACAUCUUUAGUUUAGUGUGUAUCAAUGGAUAUCUCAUUCCUUGAUGUAUCUUUAAUGAUAUCUUCCAAGUGAUGUUUUCUCCAUUUGGUAUCCUUUUCACAUGGCAUUUAUUUGUCUUUUGGUUUCGGGUUUUGAAAGUCUUGAGCAUGCAUGUUUACUUCAUGUAUUUCAUUUGGCAUGCUUUCUUUCUUUGACUCAUAUAUAGGGGAAACUCCACCUAGUCUCAAUUUGGAUGAGAUGUGCAUGAAAUUCAUUUUCAUAUCUAUAUGCACAUAUUUAUGUGGAGUUUGUCCUAUGUAUUGGUGUUUCUAACUAUUUGGUCCCGAUGAGUUUGGGUACCGUUUAGUUUGUGUUGUUCUUCUAGGAACAUUUGGAGAUGCAUUGGAUGCUCGGCUCACUCACAAGGAAGGUGUUGUCACCAUGUGCAUAUUGGAGUCAAGCCAGGAUGAUCAAUGAACUACUAUCUACCUUCAAUUGGUAUCUACUACAUCCUUCCAAUGAUAUCUCGGUAACAAGUAUCUAUUCAUGCUUUCUCCUCUUGCAUUCAACCUUGUGUAGGUUGCAUCUUGGCAUGAUUUUCAUUUAUAUCUUGUGAUACUUGUUUCCUUUCUCAAAGCAUCCCAACGAUGAUCUCUUGUUGCUAGUUGUGAUGCCCUUGAUGGAUGUGUGUUUGGACUUCAUUUAUAUACAAUAAGACCAUAUCUAGCCAAGUGAUAUGCUUUCAAGCAAAUAUCUUAUUGGUAUAUUUAUGACUUCCUUGUGGAUAUCUUGUUCCUUCGUGUUGUAACUAUUUCGGGUGUACAUUCUUCUUUGUAGAUAUAUAUAUAUCAUCAUGAUUUCGUCUACAUAGAACCUUAUACACUUGAGAGAAAUUACAUCUCUAGUUGAUAUCCUUUCUUUCACUUCCACCUUGUCUUUCUUAUGUUAUUUCUUUGGUGGCUCCGUGAAAGCUUUUGCCUUGAGUGCGUGUCCUCUAUCGUUGCAUCUUGAUGCACUCUUGUGUGGUGAAGAUUAUUUUCCUCAUGCUUAUCGUUACGAGGCUUUUGCCAUCUUAAUUGGCAUCCCUCGUCUUGAUGAGGCUUUCAUCUUCUAUCUUCACCAAGGGUUGUCACAAGCAUAAGUUCUUUAUAUGCUUAUUAGUAAGCUUGUGAACCCAUUUGCUAGUUGUGUGUGGGAAUGACAGGCCUUGCACCGUGUGCCUCAUUCUUUCAAGACUAUGUUGAUGCUUAAUGCUCAUCCUAAUUUUAGUCUUCUCAAGUGCUUCGCCAUGACUCACACACAUCAUUUUGGUUGAGCCCAUUCUUAAGUUGCCUCUUUUACUUGUUGCUCAACCAUGUGUUUGUUGCAAGUACUAGGCUUUGUUUCCUAUAUGCUCACUUGCACUUGUUGUAAGUUUCUAUUGAUUUUGGGGGAGCUAUGAUCCUAUUUUGUGCGCUUUGUAUCCAAUUACAAAACAUUCUUUUUUGUGCACAAAUCAUGGGGAGCUUCUCUAGUUUCUUUAGAACACUCCUCGUCUCAUAUCAUAAUAUCCUUCAUUCAUGUGGCUCAUAGGAUCUUUGGUCUAGUUGGUUCAAUUGAUAUCCUUUGAUUGCUUGCUUCAAUUGGUAUCUUUUGAUUGCUUGAUUGCUUGUUUCUCUCUUUGUUAUGUCUUUGUGGCAUAUCAUUCUUUUGCAAUCUUUGGGCCUCAAUAUAGUUUGUGUUCCUCCAAGUAUUAACCGUUGGAUAUGUGUAUUUCAUUCCACUCUCUGGUUGAGAAAUACACAAUUUAUGGAGGACCACAAUUUAUAUUGGUCUUCUUAGCUUUUCGCCCAUUUUGGCAAUCGAUGCCAAUGGGGGAGAAGUUUCAAAGAGUUUUGUGGAGAAGUUUAGAGAGUUAUCUCCUCUUGCUUUGGUUUUGUUCCUUAGCAUUUGCAUCUCAUUCGCAUCCACUAUUGGUUGUUGCAUUGCAUGGUGAUGCAUAAUACCUUGUAUAAACUCUCUUGAAAGUGAUUGUCAUCAAUUACCAAAAUGGGGGAGAUUGAAAGAACAUGCGGUGCCCCCAUGUUUGGUUUUGGCAAUUGAUGACAAUCUCUAUGGACUAAUGGUUGCCUUGAGUUAUAUUUGAAGGGUUGUCCGUAGGCUUUUCUUGGAGUCCAUGUGUUGGUUUCAAGGAGUUUAUGAUUUGACCAAGGUGCUAUUAAGGAAUUAUCCAAAGAUUGGUCAUGUGAGUGUUGAGCUUAUUGCAAGCAUGUCUUGAAGAAGAAGAUUAUGUGAUCAUUCAUGUUUACCUUCAAGACAUCAUCCAAAUGAAGAGAGUUGGAAAGAUUCAAGGUUAAUCUAGACUAAGUACAGAGAGUGAUUCAAGUUGAUCAACACACAAAGCGCACAAGUUGUACCAAGAGGGACCAAGUGUUCCCAUGGUAUGGUAAGCAUUGUCCAUUACGCUUUGUGUACUAACCCAUGGUCUACGUGAGAGUUCUUUGUGGGGUUAGGUAUGAUUCCAUGGUCUUGCGUCAAGAGGAAGAUCCCAUACAACCCAUAGAGGAUGACAUCAAGUGGUGAUCCUCAUCAAGUUUGCUGUGUGCAAGUUCAAGUGGAGCAACACGAAGAGUGGCUCACCCAUAAUGGAGUAUGGGGGAGCAAUCAAGUUUGAAUCUUUCCAUCCAUUGUGGCGUCAAUGGAAUUGUGAAGAUGUGCCGAAGAGUCGCUCACCCAUAGUGGACUAUGGGGGAGCAAUCAUCUAGUCUUCAUCGAGCCAACGCAAUCAAGAAAGGUGGUCCAACUUGAGGGAGUCAAGAUCGUCUUCAUCUAGCUCAAGUGGACCAUGUGCAAGGCAAAGGUUUGCCCUUGAUAGGUUUUCUAUUUUACCGGUCUCGUGGUGGUAGUUGGGAGACCGGGUUAUAGGAUCGUUUGUCGUACUAUUAAGGGGGGCUCUCAAGUUGGUAGCUUGAUCGUAUCGUUAGUAGAGAGCUCAAACCAUUGCAUCCUUGCAUCAUGUUUCUUUGUUCUUGUUUGGUUCUCUUUGUGAGUCUUAGAGCUUAUGGUCAUCUUGAUGACAAGCUUGAGUUCAUCGAAAACGGAGUUCGCAUGUGUCUUCUAUGAUGUUUUCGGUGUUGGAGGUUUUACCGGUCUUAUCCAAGGAAGGGUUCUCACCAUUUUCUUAUGGGCCUUUUCUCAUUUGCUUCUUAUUGAUAUUUCUAUCAAGAUUGUGUUAGCCCUUGUUGCUAGCUUUCCAACAAACUUGGUUUCAUCGAAUUCGGAGCUCGUAUGCAAAAGUUGUGGCUGUUUUGAUAUUGCCUGUUUUACAUAGAGAGGUUGUACCGCCACGUAGAGAGGUUGUACCGGUUGACCGGUACAACCGGUGUUUGGAGCGGUUGUACCGCUCCAGAAUUGGUCCGGAGGUUGUACCGGCCAUGUACCGCUCUACCGCCGGACUAGUUUCUGUUUUGGAGCGGUUCUUGGGCGGUUGUUGACCGGUUUAACCGGUUUAACCGGUACUACCGGUUCCCCAGGCUGUUGUACCGCUUAGAGCUUUUCCCAGGUUGGUUUUUCCUCUGCUUUGGCCGGUAGUACCGGUUCGUGCACCGGUUGUACCGGUCCUACAGGUUUCUGCACAUAACGGGCAGAUUCGUGGGGACCUAUUUAAGGGGGUCUUCUUCCCUAAUGGUUUCCCAUCUCUUGAGCUCGUUUUUGCCCCCAUUGUUGACAUUCUUCGAGCUUGCUAACUCUCAAUCCCUCCAUGGAUUCUUGCUAGUUUUUGAGGGAAAAGAGAGAGGAGAUCUAGAUCCACAUUUCCACCAAUCACUUUCUUCUCUAUGUGAGGGGAACCCCUUGGAUCUAGUUCUUGGAGUUCUUGGUGUUCUCCUUCUUGUUCUUCCUCUCAUUUUCCUCCCUAGCAUUAGUUGCUUCGGUGGGAUUUGAGAGAGAAGGACUUGGGCACUCCGUGUGCCCUUGCCAUUGCAUUUGGUGCAUCGGUUUGAGUUCUCCACGGUGAUACGUGGAAGUUACAAGUUGAGAAGCUUAUUACUCUUGGGUGCUUGGUGCCCUUGAGCUUGUUCCUCUUGGGUGCUUGGGCGCCCUAGACGGUUGGUGGUGUUCGGAGCUCAAUCAUUGUGGUGUAAAGCUCCGGGCAAGCGUCGGGGUCUCCAAUUAGGUUGUGGAGAUCGCCCCGAGCAAUUUGACGGGUUCCGGUGACCGCCCCCAAGGGUUGCCAAAGUGUACGGGUUCGGUGACUGCCCCCAAGGGUUGCCAUUUGUAAGGGUUCGGUGACCGCCCUCAAGGGUCCCUUAGUGGAAUCAGGCAUCUUGCAUUGUGCGAGGGCGUGAGGAGAUUACAGUGGCCCUAGUGGCUUCUUGGGGAGCAUUGUGCCUCCACACCGCUCCAAACGGAGAUUAGCAUCCGCAAGGGUGUGAACUUCGGGAUACAUCAUCGUCUCCGCGUGCCUCGGUUAUCUCUUACCCGAGCCCUUUACUUAUGCACUUUACUUUGUGAUAGCCAUAUUGUUCUUUGUCAUAUAUCUUGCUAUCGCAUAGUUACUUAUCUUGCUUAGCAUAAGUUGUUGGUGCACAUAGGUGAGCCUAGUUGUUUUAGGUUUUGUGCUUGACAAAUUAACCGCUAGGUUUAUUCCGCAUUUGUUCAAGCCUAAACCGUAAUUAUUCUAAAGCGCCUAUUCACCCCCCCCCCUCUAGGCGACAUCCACGAUCUUUCAGCUCCCCCUAGGGCCGGCCGGCCUCCUCCUCCCCUCCUUUAUAUACGUGGGCAGGGGGCACCACAAAGACACAACAGAUUAUCUCUUAGUCGUGUGUGGUGCCCCCUCCACAUUUUAACACCUUGGUCAUAUCGUCGUAGUGCUUAGGCGAAGCCCUGCACCGGCAACUUCAUCAUCACCGUCGCCACGCCGGCGUGCUAAUGGAACUCUUCCUCGACCCUCUACUAGAUCAAGAUCUCGAGGGACAUCAUCACGCUGAACGUGUGAUGAACACGGAGGUGCCGUAUAUUUGGUACUUGGAUCGGUUGGAUCGUGAAGACGCUCGACUACAUCAACCGCGUUACUAAACGCUUCCACUUUCGGUCUACGAGGGUACGUGGACACACUCUCAUGUCUCGUUCCUAUGCAUAUCCUAGAUAGAUCUUGCAUGAUCGUAGGAAUUUUUCUGAAUUGCUAUGUUCCCCAACACACACAAGUCUCCAAUCUACGCACCUGCACAAACAAUCAAACACUUACACCCAACGCGAUAAAGGGGUUGUCAAUCCCUUCAUGGUCACUUCCAAAGGUGAGAUCUGAUAGAGAUAGAUAUAAAAGCUUACUAAAACAUAAAACAAAAUAAAAGUAAAUAAAUUGCAGCAAGGUAUUUUGGGUUUUUCGGUUUAUAGAUCUGAAAAUAUAUGAUGGAAAAUAGACCCGGGGGCCAUACAUUUCACUAGAGGCUUCUCUCUUGAAGGCAAAUAAUACGGAGGGUGAACAAAUUACUGUCGAGCAAUUGAUAGAAAAGCGCAAAGUUAUGACGAUAUCAAAGGCAAUGAUUAUGAAUAUAGGCAUCACGUCCGUGUCAAGUAGACUGACUCCUACCUGCAUCUACUACUAUUACUCCACACAUCGAUCGCUAUGCAGCAUGCAUCUAGAGUAUUAAGUUCAUAAGAACGGAGUAACGCCUUAAGUAAGAUGACAUGAUGUACAGGGAUAAACUCAAGCAAUAUGAUGAAACCCCCAUCUUUUUACCCUUUAUGGCAACAAUAAAAUAGAUGCCUCGCUACACCUACUUUAUCACUGGGUGAGGACACCGCAAGAUUGAACCAAAAACUAAGCACCUCUCCCAUUGCAAGAAGAACCAAUUUAUUUGGACAAACCAAACUGAUAAUUCGAAGAGAAAUACAAAGAUAUCAAAUCAUGCAUAUAAGAAUUCAGAGAAGAUUCAAAUAAUAUUCAUAGAUAAACUGAUCAUAAAUCCAUAAUUCAUCGGAUCUCGACAAACACACCACAAAAGAAUAUUACAUCGGAUAGACCUCCAAGAACAACGAGGAUAACAUGGUAUUGAGGAUCAAAGAGAGAUAAGAAGCCAUCUAGCUACUAGCUAUGGACCCAUAGGUCUGUGGUAAACUACUCACGCUUCAUCGGAAGGGCAGUAGAGUUGAUGUAGAAGCCCUCCAUGAUUGAAUCCCCUCCGGCAGGAUGCCGGAAAAGGCCCCAAGAUUGGAUCUCACGGGUACAGAAGAUUACGGCGGCGGAAAAGUAUUUUGGUGGACACUUCUGGUGGUUUGGGAAUAUUUCUGAAAUUAUAGGCCAAACAUUAGGGUUGGAGGACUCCCGUGGGGCCCACAAGCCCGGGUCCCCCCCUAGGGCGCGCCUUGAGGGUUUGUCGAGCCCUCGGGACUCUUCUGCCUUCCUCUCCAAGUCCUACGUGUGUCUUAUGGUCCAAGAAAAAUCAUCAUGAAAGUUUUAUUCCGUUUGGACUCCAUUUGGUAUUCCUUUUCUGUAAAACUCAAAAAAAAGGACAAACAGAAACUGGCACUGGGCUCUAGGUUAAUAAGUUAGUCCCAAAAAUAAUAUAAAAUAGCAUAUUAAUGCAUAUAAAACAUCCAAACAGAUAAUGUAAUAGCAUGGAACAAUAAAAAAUUAUAGAUACGUUGGAGAUGUAUUAGAGACUUUCUCCUUUUUUGUCUUCUUCAUAUUAAUAUCUACCACCGUAUACUAUUCCACUCAGAGUGCCAUAUUCAUGGCUUGCGCUCAUGUAUUGCGUGGGGGUUGAAAAAGCUGAAGCGCGUUAAAAAGUAUGAAGCAAUUGCUUGGCUUGUCAUCGGAGUUGUGCAUGAUAAAUACAUUGUGUUAAGAAGAUGGAGCAAGACAAGGCUAUAUGAUUUUUUAGGGAUAGCAUUCUUUAGCAUUGAUAUUUUGAAAGACAUGAUUGUUUGUUGGGAUGCCUGAGUAUUGAUGUCUUUAUGUCAAAUUAUAGACUAUUGCUUUGAAUCAUUCGGAUCUAAAUAUUCAUGCCACAAAAAGAUUACAUGAUGAACAUGAUAGGUAGCAUUCCACAUCAAAAAUUCUUUUUUUAUCAUUUACCUACUUGAGGACGAGCAUGAAUUAAGCUUGGGGAUGCUUGAUACGUCUCCAACGUAUCUAUAAUUUUUUAUUGUUCCAUGCUAUUAUAGUAUCAGUCUUGGAUGUUGUAUAUGCAAUUGUAUGCAGUAUUAUAUCAUUUUUUUUGGGACUAACCUAUUAACUUAGUGCCAAGUGUCGGUUGCUGUUUUUUUUGCCUGUUUUUGGUUUUCCAGGAAAUCAGUACCAAACGAAGUCCAAAUGCCACGAAACUUCUUGACGAUUUUUUUCUGGACAUAAGAGACCCUAGAAGCUUCGGGAGGAGGCCAGAAGGUUAAGGAGUAGGCCACAAGCCACAUGGAUGCACCCAUGUGCCUUGUGGGCCCCUCUUUCCUCAGUUUGACCUAAUUCCAACUCUAUAAAUUCUCCAAAAUCGGGAAACCAACAGGGAGCCACCUGAAACACUUUCUCUACCGCCGCAAGUUUUCGGUUCUCGCGAGAUCCCAUCUGGAGGCCUUUUCCGGUAUUCUGCCGGGAGGAAUCGAUCAAGGAGGGGCUCUACAUCAACCUUGUUGCCCUUCCGACGAUGUGUGAGUAGUUUACCACAGACCUACGGGUCCAUAGCUAGUAGCUAUAUGGCUUCUUCUCUCUCUCUUUGAUCAUCAAUACAAUGUUCUCUUGAUGUUCUUGGAGAUCUAUUCGAUGUAAUCAUUUUUUGCAGUGUGUUUUUUGGGAUCCGGUGAAUUGUGGGUUUAUGAUCUGAAUAUUCAUGAGAAUUAUUUGAUUCUUCUCUUAACUUAUUUAUGCAUGAUUGUUAUAACUUUUUAUUUCUCUCCGAUCUAUUUGUUUUGUUUGGUCAACUAGAUUGAUUUAUCUUCCAUGGGAGAGGUGCUUUGUGAUGGGUUCAAUCUUGCGGUACUCUAUACCAGUGAUAGAAAGGGAACAUUCACAUAUUUGUAUUGUUGCCAUUAAGGAUAAAACGAUGGGGUUUAUUCAUAUUAGUUGAGUUUACUUUGUCUACAUCAUGUCAUUCUUUCUUAAGGCAUUACUCUGUUUUUAUUAACAAAAUCCCCUAGAUGCAUACUGGAUAGCGGUCGAUGGGUGGAGUAAUAGUAGUAGAUGCGGGAAGGAGUCGGUCUACUUGUCUCGGAUGCGAUGCCUAUAUACAUGAUCAUUGCAUUGAAUAUCGGCAUAACUAUGCGCUUUUCUAUCAAUUGUCCAACAGUAAUUUGUUUACCCACCGUAUGCUAUGUGCUCGAGAGAGAAGACAAUAGUAAAAAUUAUGGGCCCCGGGUCUACUUUUAUCAUAUAUAAAACACAAAAAUACCUUGCUGCACCUUUCCAAUUUUAUUUUAUUUUAUCUUUGCAAUUUAUCUAUCCACCACUACAAGAUUAAUCCUUGCAAGUAACAGCCAAGGGGAUUGACAACCCUCUUUUUUCCAUUGGGUGCAAGUAUUUGUUUUUGUGUGUGCUGGUGAUGCUAACGAGGUUCUGUGUCGUUCCCCUACUGGAUUGAUAAUCUUGGUUCUUAACUGAGUGAAAUACUUAUCUCUACUUUCCUCUUCGAGGAAAUCCCAACAUAACUCACAAGUAGAAAGAAGAAUUUUGGCGUCGUUGCCGAGGAGACAUCACCAAAACCUAUCAAGUAGCCUUGCACAAACUAUCAUCUACUUUCUCUUAUUUUAUUUUCCUUUGCCUCUCGUUUUCAUCUCCCCCACUUCUAAAACAAUUUUACAAAAACACAAAAAUAUUUUCGGUUGCUCGUUCGCUUGCUUUGUCGCUAUGUCUCAAGAAAACACCAAGUUGUGUGACUUUUUUUAAUACUAAUAAUAAUGAUUUUAUUAGUAGUCCAAUUGCUCCUCCCGCCACUAGUGCGGAGUCAUGUGAUAUUAAUGUCGCUUUGCUAAAUCUUGUUAUGAAAGAAAAAAUUUCUGGUAGUCCUAAUGAAGAUGAUGCAUCCCAUCUUAAUUUUUCGUUGAAUUAUGUGAUAUGCAAAAGAAAAAAAGAUGUGGAUAAUGAUAUUAUUAAGUUAAAAUUAUUUCCAUUCUCACUACGAGAUCAUGCUAAAUCUUGGUUUCAUCCUUGCCUCGAAAUAGUAUUGAUUCUUGGGAUAAAUGUAAAGAUGCUUUUAUAACCAAGUAUUUUCCUCCGCUAAGAUUAUUUUUCUUACAAAUCAAAUAAUGAAUACUAAGCAAAUUGAGCGUGAACAUGUUGCACAAUCUUAGGAGAGAAUGAAAUUAUUGAUAAGAAAUUGUUCCACUCAUGGUUUAAGCUUAUGGAUGAUUAUACAAAAAAAAUAUGCGGAACUAAACUUUGUUUAUAGAAAUUUUCUAGACUCUGCUGCAGGUGGUACUUUUAUGAAAAUCACAUUGGGAGAAGCUACAAAAGUCCUUUAUAAUAUUAUGGUAAAUUAUUCUCAAUGAUACACUGAAAGAGCUCCAACUGGUAAGAAGGUAAAUUCUGUGAAAGAAACUAAUACUUUGAGUGAUAGAAUGGAUGCUCUCAUGAAAAUGGUUGCUAGUAAGAAUGCUCAUGUUGAUCAUAAUGAUGUGCCAUUAUCUACAUUGAUUAAGCAAAAUAAUGAUGCUAUUGAUGUGAAUUUUGUCUCUAGAAAUAAUUUGCCAUAAACUACUAACCUAGUUCCCAGUGCCAAGGGUAGAUCUUUGGACUUCACGAAGCACUUCCCCGCCAUCCCUCAAGAGUUCAAACUCAAGACCAACACCGGUUGCGCCUAGAGGGUGAUGGUCUGGUUGAUGAACGACAGGAUCACCCUUGAUCAGGGUUGGGCCCUUUUGCCAAUGUUCACCAGAUCAAGAUCAGUUACAUGGUCAUUUCUCAGUCAGCUGACUCCCGACAGCCUAAAGGUGGUCGCCUUCAACGACAAAGGCAUGGAGGUGGUGUCGAAGUGCAAGAAGCACGACAACGUCUUCGCCCUGAAUAUCUAGAUAGUUAUCUUGCCUGGAUUGCUUCUGUUUAGCCUUGAACAAUGGCUUGGUCAUGCCAAACUGCGUUUAAUAAUGUCUUGCUUGGUGCGUUGACUAACUUAAAUUGAAUGUUUAAGGUUGAUAGUUUGUUAAACUUGUUGGUAUGAUAUCUAUGUCUUGCUUGUCAGUGUGUUGGUAACCUAACCACCUCCACGAGAAGGUUACCAGCCGAUAUGCGUUGCAUGUAACCAAACAACCUAAAUUGUGUUUCUACCUAAACAAGCCCAUAACCAAACAACAUGACUUUCGUUUAUUUGUAACUAGGCUAGAGGGUAUGUAGACAACCAAACAACGUGCAGAUAAUUGUUCUUAGACUGUAUUGACUGAACUAGGCCAAUGCAGGCAAGCAAACACGAGCAAGUGCACAUUGUGAUGAUUUUUUGCCACUGUGAAGCACUGCGUCCGGUGCAUCUUGUCGCGAUUUAUAUUUUCGCCAAUCAGCACACUGUUUUCGAAUCAAAAGCAGCAUUUCACUCCCUGGACGCGGUACGGUUGAGUGAUUACCGAGGCGUGUUGCGAACACCGUGGCGAUCUCCCUAAACAAAUCGCAAAAUGCGCAAAUCAUUCGGCCUUUUGCCUCUCGGCGAAACUGCUCCCGGCUUGCUCCGACGUAGCGCGCUGUGCCCAUGUGUAAACUGUAAAGGGCCAUGUGUAAAACGCCAAGGUCGCUCGCGCUGGCCGGCACCGCGCGCGCGCGAGCGGUGCGCCGCCACCGCACGCGUCAGCUAGCGACAACGGCUCCAGCGGUCGGCCAGCGCUCCGCUCCACCACCUACUGUACCGCACCAAAAGCCACCGCUUCCCUUCUCCUCUGCUCCGCGCACGCCUCCCCUGCGCGUACCGACGGACAGCGCAGCGCAGCUUCCGGCCACGCCACGCGUGGGCGUGGCUCCCUACCGUCCACGGAUCCGCCGUCGAUCUGGAGGGCCGACAAACGCCGCCCCGCUUUCCGCUGCCGCCCCCCGCCCACUGGAUUAAGUACUCCCCUCACCCCGAGACAGUCAGCUUCACUCCCUCACUCGCUCGGGCUCCCACUCCCAUCCCCAUCACCAACCCCUCCCACAUGGCCAUGGCGCCCCACCCACCGGUCCUCCUCCUGCUGCUCCUCGCGCCGCUCCUCCUCUGCUCGCUGCUCCCCGAUGCGGCGCGGGCGGCCGGCGCCGAGGACGCCGGCGUGACCAUCGUGCGCAAGGACGGCACGACCUGCACGCUCUGCGCCUCCUGCGAGAACCCCUGCAACCCCAACCCAGGAUACAACUACCCGUCGCCACCUCCCCCGGCUCAGGUCACCCCCGCGGCGCCGGUGUACCCGCCUCCCACUUCCUACCCAGCUCCCUCCGGUGGAGGCGGCGGUGGCGGUGGCUACUUCUACCCUCCGCCCACCGGCGGGUACGGAGGAGGAGGCGGCGGCGGCGGCGGGUCCCAGGGAGGACAAGGUGGAGGAGGAGGAGGCGGUGCGUACCCGACGCCCCCGCCGCCCAACCCGUUCCUGCCCUACUUCCCCUUCUACUACUACAGCCCGCCACCCCAGCUCAAGAGCUCGGCGCCGGCCGUCCCGUCGUCCGCCGCGGCGCCGCCGCUGCUGCUGCUCGCGCUCUCCGGGCUCCUGCUCUGGUGAGGAGGAGGACGAGGGUGAGAAUGCGAGGUAGAUCCGCCGAGCUGACGCGCUCAGUGGAUCCAUUCAGCUGGCAUCUGCGCUGCAGUAAUUUUCGAUUUUAUUUAUUUAUUCACCGCUGUAAUUUUCUCUAUUUUUUUGCUCCUCCCUCCUCUCUGCUUCUGUGAUUUAUUAUGUGCUGCCGGUAUAGAACUAUAUAGGAGACCGUACCAAGUGUAAACCAAGGGCGACCAAUAAUAAAGCACAAGUGCUGUUUUAUAUAGAUGGAUCUGGUAGGAGUAAUUAAGAUGUUCAUGCGAAAGGGGGGAGAGGAAGCUGUUCAUUUCUCUCUUUGAUUGCUUCAGGCGUUGUCAAAACGAAUGUGCAUCAUACGGAUCCGAUUAGGGUGUCAUGGUUCUGAAUUUCUGAUGACAUCUCUCGCUUUGCUAUGCUGGCGACUGCCCUUGCAUGUGUUGGUUAAGGUUUGUGCUGUUGGAUGGCACUUCUUCUUUGGUUGGUUGUGCGAAUCUCAUGGCGUUGGUGAAGAAAUACUGUAAGCUGUGAAUGUGAAUGAAGUUUGAGAUUAAUUUUUGCAUUGUUCUUGCUGCAGAAUAUAGUUGUUCAAUGGCAUUGAACGUCAUUGCAGGGCAGAAAUAAAAAGGAAAAAUGAUGACAAUGGACUUGGUCAAACAUUACAUGGUCCUCCACCAGUUAUGAACACCUGACCUCAGUUCAGAGUCUCUCUCGUUCACUGAAUCACUGGUAAACAAACAAGAACCUGCUGCUACCGUGCAGGCUUCCAAAACUGAAUCCCUGCACAAACAAAACAACGCUCCAGUUCAGAGUCUCUCUCGCGCUAACGAAUCGAAGGCACAACAUGGAACUGGCUAACUUGUCAUGGUUCCUAAUGACAUCUCUCACCGUGCUAUGCUGGCUAACUUGUCAUGGUUCAGAAUGACAUCUCUCACCGUGCUAUGCUGGCGAUGCCCCGUAUGUGUUGAUCUUGUUUAACAUGUCGUGGUCCCCAGGACAUCUUUUUUUUUCUGUAUCAGAAAUAUAUACUCUCAAUUAAUAAAUUUCAAAAAUAUUUACAAAGAAUCCAUUUAACAAUAACAUAUAUUGGGAAGUGGAAAAUGUUCAUGUACCUGAAAAACCAUAUAUUAUAAGUAUUGAUCUCACAUUCAAAAAGUAUUCAAAAAAGGCUCAUGUAUAUUUGUAUCAUAUCUGUUCUUAUCCGCUCCAUUCUUUUCAACCUUCCUACAUGACGAACAUUACAAAAGUCAGUUACUCCUUCUUUACCCUGUUAUGUAUGGUGUUGUUGGUGACUUAACAAUGGCGGUUCUAAGCGAUGGUAGUAGGUUGAUGAGAUCGGCGCGAAUGGGGAGACAUAUUGCCUUCCCUACUUGGACACUCAUCCAUCCAUAGCCUCCACAACGUUGGUGUGCCUCCCUCUCUUCUUCUGUCCCAUCCAUGGCCUCGCCCUGUCACGAUUGAGCUAUCUUCCUUCACCGAGGAUUGAACCGGAACUCCUGUUCAGUGCUUCAGGCGCUGGAUAUUGGGAUGCUGGUAGGGAGUGCAUACCCUCCAGGUGACGGGCCGCUCCAAAUAAUAGUCACUCUCUAACGACGCUAGCUACGACCUCUUUUUGUUGGCUUUAUUGUCUGAAAAAAAACGCACUGGUUCAGAAAGAAACCAACUACAGUUUUUUAAUGUAUUUUAAAAAUUGUGCAUUCAAUGAUUUUUGUAAAAAAUUAUGGAUUUUUUUUUAUAAAUGUUCGGCAACUUAAUUUUCUUUACGAAAUUUAAAAAGAUUCCCGAGCUUGAAAAAAUGUUCACAAAAUUUCAAAAGUUAAAAGUUUUGGAAAAUGUUCUCGAAUUAAAAAGUGUUCACGAUUUUGGUUUUUUUGUGGAUUUAAUGAAGAAGAAUGAAAUUAAGUUAAAAAACAUACUAAAAAUAUAAAAAUGAAAAAUAAGGACCAAAUCAAAAUCAGCGAAAACCCAACAAAAAAUACCCGAAAAAAAAUUCCGGCCUGUGUUAUACUACAUCCGUCUAUAAAACUGUUGUCGGGUGUGUUUCGGGCACAUCUGAGUAACUCAAUCAAGUAUAAAAAGAAAAAGAAAAGAAAAUACCCACACGAAUCCUCGCGUAAGAUCAAUGACUUAAGGCUUAGAUGUACAAUAUUUAUGACACAUCUAGAUGUGCUCUAGCAAAACUGUUGUCAAAGUGGAAAAAUCUUAGUGGAAAACUCUUCCGGUAAACUGCUGCUUGUUACAGGGGACUAGGAACCAUUGAAGCUUGCCGGUAAACUGCUGCUUGUUACAGGGGAACUAGGAACCAUUGAAGUUUUUAGUGUGCAUCCCAAGAGGAAGGUACUUGAACCAAUCAAAAGUAUCGGCAGCAGUGCGCUCUUCCCAAGUCAUGGCAAGUGCCUGUUAGUUGACACAGAUAAGCUUCCUUCCGUCGAGUGCAACUGCAUCUACACUACUAUUUGUCCUGGAUUUAGGAUUGGUAGCAUAGCCGUCACCUAUGACCUCAGCGAUGGCACGGGGUGAAUUGCAAGAAACCACCACAUUUGGGGCUUAUCUUGCAGAAAAUCACCUGGUCGCUAAUCAUUUGCAAAAAUCAUCGCGCAUUCAGUAAAAGUGUUGCAGAUUGCACUGAACAGGUGAUUGGCACGGUUGAGGGCGUAUCCGAUAGGUGGGGCCCAAAAUAAUCAUACACAGACCCCUAGUAGAUUUAAAAAAAAUCAAUCAGCCCCUGGACCAUGCCCGCCGCCAGGAAGUAGUUCUCGAUCGGGAGCCGCAUCUCGGCGCCGCCGCAGAAGCGGAGGGACAACUCGGGGAGGUCCAUGGUCUUGGCGCCCGCCGGGAGCGCGAAGCAGGGGCGCAGCCCCAGGGCGUCCUCACGGCCUUGGACCGGUUGUACCUGCCCCCCACCGCCGCCACCAUCGCUGCCGCCACCGGCUUGAACAUCGUUGGGUCCAGAUAGCUGAAGGUCGUGCCAGAGUCGAUGAUGGCACCGCCCCCGCCGCCGCCGGACACGGGCGCGAAGGCCCGCGCCGGGAGCGCCACGCUCUUCCCGCCCACCGCGACGGCAGCUGGUGCACGGGCGUGAGGCUGCAUCCCAUGGAGAAGUUGCGGCUGGCGGCCCCCCGCGGGGAGAGGCGCAGCUCGUACUGCAUCUUGCCGGCAGAGGAGGCACCGAGGACGAGCUCGCCGCUGACGGCGGCGGCGUCGUCGAAGCGGCGGGAGAGGAGGCAGUAGGAGAACUUGGUGACCCCGAGCUGCGCAGGCACGGAUGGCUCGCCGCGGCCGAACCCCGCGAGCCCCGACGGCAGCUAGUGCACGGACGCGAGGUUGUGUCGCGCCGCUGCCGACUUCUCUGCCUCAUCGUUGUUUUGCUGCAGGAGCCGAGGUCGUCGCCCCCUCUCAGUUCUUCGCGCCGCCUCCAGUUCCGCCGGAUCCGCUACCUGCAGGCCCUUCCUGGCCGGAUCCCGCCGCCACGCUGCCAAUCCUCGCCUGCAGCUCCGCCCAGCUGCCGCCGUCCUGCUUCUUCCCGGCGAGAGGAAGGAGAUGCCCUCCGUGUGGGAGGGGGGGCUUGAUUGCUUUUCUUUUAUAAGAUCCAGGGAGGUAUAUGUCAAUUUGUUGCCAAAUCAGCUCCUUACAGUCCGGCCCCACUAGUCAGAAAAUGGUUAAACAGGCUAAAUCACCUGUUCAGUGCUUUUUGCAACACUUUUACUGAAUGCGCGGUGAUUUUUGCAAAUGAUUAGCGACCAGGUGGUUUUUUGCAAGAUAAGCCCCAAAUGUGGUAAUUUCUUGCAAUUCACUCGAUGGCACGAGAAAAUACAUCACUUCAGCGCGUGGAGAUGGCCCUGGAGCUCAGAGUAGGCAUGAAGGCCCUUUGAGCCCUGCUCACGUUCUUCUCAGUCAUUGUUCAGAAGUUGAUGCUCCACAAGAUCGUAUCCGUUGCCAAAUCGUACUCCCUCUGUCCGGAAAUACUUGUCAUCAAAAUGAAUAAAAGGGAUGUAUCUAGAUGUAUUUUAGUUCUAGAUACAUCCAUUUUCGUCCAUUUUGAUGACAAGUAUUUUCGGACGGAGGGAGUAGUAUUUGACGACUUGCUUGACUUCAAACGUCAUGCUGCUACCUCCGUGAAAAGGAAUUGAUUGAAUUCAUCGGUAACUAGUUUUCUUUCUCACUGGACUGGACUACAAAAUGCCAAGAUGCUGGACUGAUCGUUGUUGGGUACAAGUUGCUUCAGCUUCUUGCUGCUGAUGCUUUAAAGCAGGAGGAGUGAAUUGCAAAAAACAUCGACACUUCAGGCUAGGUUUGCAGGUACCACACAUAUACGAAAUUGUGCCAAAAAACACUAAUUUUUUUCAUAAACUUUUGCAAAAAACACUAGUUGCUUGUUUGGACCGUUUUUAGUGCGUUUAUGACAAGGGGGGACCCGCAUUUGUCGACGUGGCAGCACUGUUCACACGGCAACGCCGUUAGACGGCGUUACACGCCGCUGGCGCACCGGUUCGAGUCGGGCGGGUCAAACACCCCGAAGCGGUGCAGGCCCCACCCCCCCCCCCCAGCCCUCACUCUCUCCCGUCCUUCNNNNNNNNNNNNNNNNNNNNNNNNNNNNNNNNNNNNNNNNNNNNNNNNNNNNNNNNNNNNNNNNNNNNNNNNNNNNNNNNNNNNNNNNNNNNNNNNNNNNNNNNNNNNNNNNNNNNNNNNNNNNNNNNNNNNNNNNNNNNNNNNNNNNNNNNNNNNNNNNNNNNNNNNNNNNNNNNNNNNNNNNNNNNNNNNNNNNNNNNNNNNNNNNNNNNNNNNNNNNNNNNNNNNNNNNNNNNNNNNNNNNNNNNNNNNNNNNNNNNNNNNNNNNNNNNNNNNNNNNNNNNNNNNNNNNNNNNNNNNNNNNNNNNNNNNNCCCUCUCUCUGCUCCCGCUCGUUCGCCGCCGCCGCCCCCUCCCACAUUUCCGACCGCCGUCGCCGCCGCGUCGCCAUGGUUUCCUGGUCUGAUGACGACAGCAGUGAGAACUCUCACCAGUACGCCGACUCAGCUUCAGACGAGGGCAUCAUCAAGGUGAGUUGCUCGAGCUGAAGCUAGGGUUAGGGGUGCGAUUUGGGGAUUUUUCUGUUGAGCUUGAUCUCAAGUUUUGUUGCCUUUCCUUUGCACCUCCAGAUCCCUGAGACCAUCGAUGACUCUGAUUUCGAGGGCACUGAACCUGAUGUUUUGUGCAAUGAACACUCCCUGCCAGCAGAGAGGCGUGUUGCUUUCCAGGGCAUCCAUACUGGCAGGAGGUUCUUUGCUUGUGCUGUGAAGGUAUGUGCCAAAUUUAUGCAGAGUGUUGUUCAGUGAGGUCAUUGUUUAUAUGUGAGCAUGUGCAGAGUGUUGUCAGCAGAUCUGGCCUGUUAGGUAGGUUACUAAUUAGUUAUGUAUUUUCUGUGAUAGUAGUGGGUUAGGGAGGUCAUUGUUUAUAUGCCAGUAUGUGCAUAGGGUUGGGAGCACUGAUUGAGACUUCUUACUUUAUAGCAUAUGGAUUAGUGAGCACUGUAAUUGUUUAACUCACUGUGUCAUAUGGCUAGCUCAUACAUGUUUGUUUAACUCAUUAUGUUACUUUAUACCUGUUUGUUACUUUAUAGCAUGUGGAUUAGUGAGCACUUUACACCAUGUGUUACUUUGUAGCAUUUUGUUACUUUAUACCUGUUUAACACUAAAAUUACAGGAGGGAAGAAAUUGUGGGCUAGUUGAAUGGGUUGAUCCAUUUUGGCCAGCUACAAUGGAGAAUGCAUUGACCAAGUUGUGGGAUAAGUAUGAAGAGUGCGGGAGGAGCAAGAUUGAGGACAAUCUGGGAAGCUCAUUUGCUGUUCACAAUCUGACACAACAGAAGAUCAAGCUGCAGGCAAGUUAUGAGAGGUUGGUUGAAGAUGUCAACGACCUUUUGGAUAGGAGCAGAGGGCUCAGAUGGAGAGAGGUAAGAUACAGAACAAACCUGAUGAGAGCAAGCUGCAGGAGAAGUAUGACAUGCUCAAGAACCUGACAGUUGCUCAAGCCAAAGUCAUUAGGAACAUGAAGGUGAAGCUUGCUGAAGAGAAGAUUAAGUUGCAGGCCCACAUUGAUGAGCUUGAGAAGGUUGCCGAGCAGACCAAGCUGAAGCUGAAUGGGAUCAAAGCCAUCUUAGAUGAAUGAGAAGUAUAAUGUAAUAUGCUGCUUAUUAGUACCACCAGCAUGGUUACGGGAUGAUGAUUACUAUAAUUAUGGUUAUGUAAUGACUACUAUUAGAUGAAUGAUCUAGUAAUAUCUAAAUUAUGGUUAUGUAAUAUGGUACUUAUUAGUUAUGAUUAUGUAUGAAUCUUCCAAGUGGUUUUGUCGAUGACGAGAGAUCCUAGAAUCAUAGUAAGCAUCAUCAUCAUCCAUCUAAGCCAACAUCAUCACCAGAAUCACCAGCAUCACAACCAACAUUUUCAGGUUCUCACAUCCAUCUAAGCCAACAUUUAAGAUAAACAUCCAAGUUCUCACAACCAACAAUGGUUCAAAGCCAACAUAGGCAUAAUCUAGUUGAAAGCCAACAAAGGCAUAAUCUAGUUGAAAGCCAACAUAGGCAUUAUAGGUUCUGAAAGCCAACAAAGGCAUAAUCUAGUUCACAGCCAACACAUAGAUAUCACAUGUCAACAAAGACAAAGGCAUCUAGUUCCCAGAAGCAUAGAAGUAUUCUUUCAACUUGUAUGAAGAAGUCCUUUUUCUUCCACUCUGUCUUGGAGCUUGAAAAGUUGACAUGUUUCCCGCAGUAGAGGUAGAGGCUGUACCAGCAUUGGUAGCUUUCUUCCUGGGAGACCUCCUUGGAGGAGCAGCAGGUGUAGUGGCAGCAGGUGUAGCUUUCUUCCUAGGAGACCUCCUUGGAGGAGCAACAGGUGUAGUGGCAGCAGGUGUAGGAGCAGCAGUUGAUGGAGAUGGCCUCUUCCUUGGUGGUGCAACAGCUGUAGGUGCAGUAGUAGAUGAAGAUGGCCUCUUCCUUGGUGGUGCAGCAGCUGUAGAUGCAUUUGUUGUUGAAGUAGAAGCCUGUGACCUGUUUGGCUACAUUUCAAAAAAAGUUAAGGCUUGUGAGUUACACUGGAGACAAAAUAAAGAGAAUUGAGGUGCUACUAUAACUAACCUGAUGCUGAUUCAUUCUCAUAGCAAGAGCUGCCUUUAGGGGCUUGGAGCAAACAUUGUAUCUAUGCCCUACAAGUUUGCAGUUGCUGCAAGUAAUAGAUGCCAUCCUAGAUGUAUCUCUUGGUGCUGGAUUUUCAAAUUGGUUUUUCCUCCUCUUUGUUUGUUGCUUCCCAACCUUGUCUUUGAAUACUGGAGGCUCUAUGUCCUGAGUUCUUGUCCUUGGCCACAGGUUUGGACCAGGCACAGGAAAUAUGAUAUGUGCAAAUGCUUUUUUAUACAUUUCCUUUUUGAAGAAAUCAGCAACAAAGUCCUCUGGCUGCAACUUAGCUUUCACUAUUGCAGAAACUGCAUGAUGGCAAGGCAUAGAAGUCAUAUCCCAUUUCCUACAUCCACAUGUUCUGUCCAGCAAGUUCACUGAGUAGGUGUUUUCUCCACUAGUCACUUGGUAGAUGUUAGGACCAGCCAUCAAAGUCUGGCACCACCUUGAGUUGUACUUUGUCUCCUCUAAUAUUUCAGCAUAGGUAGGGCAAAUCUCCCAAUUUGUUGUCUCUGUCUUUGUUCUAUUCUUGUUAAAUUUGACCAUCAAUUUUGUCCUGAUUCCUUCUAUCAUGGUCACUAUUGGCUUGCCUCUUACAUCUAAUAUCAUUUUAUUAAACACCUCACUGAUGUUGUUCACUACCAGGUCAGUUUUGCAAUUAAAAUCCAUAGCAUGCCUAGCCCAAGUAUGAACAGGGAUUUUGUGAAGCCAUGUCCAAGCAGCCUUACACUCUCUUUUCAAAGCAUUCAUUGCAUCAAGGUGUUCAUUCUCAGUAUAAGAGUAGCUAGCUGCAUCCAUGUGUUUCUUUAAUUCAUCACCUCUAAAACCAGCAGUUUGGAAAUUCUGGUAGAUAUGCCUAAGGCAGAAUCUUUGUGGACAAUUGGGGAAAACAUGGUUUAUUGCAUUUAAAAGCCCCUGUUUGAAACAAUGGGAAAUAAAGCCAAACAUUGGUCCUAUAAACAAUGAAGCUAUAGCAAUGUGCAUAUGAAACCAUGAAACCUAGUGCAAUAUUGUAUGAGAAGAGAAGUUUACCUUCUGCCUAUCAGAGAUGAUGGUAUAAUAACCAAACUUCCCACUUUCUCCACCAAGUGCAUCUUUAAGCUGUGUUAAGAACCAGGACCAGCUGUCUUUGUCCUUUUUGUCAACAACUCCAAAUGCUAUAGGGUAGAUAUUAUUGUUCCCAUCCCUUCCUGUUGCAGCAAGGAUCUGUUGACCUGUUGACAGCUUGAUAAAACAACCAUCUACCCCUGCAAAGCUGACAAUUGUGAGAACAUAGUGUAUGUAAUGUGAGCACAUAAAUAAUUCACAACUUAGUAAAUGAAACGUACCUAUGAAUGGUCUGCAUCCAUUCAAAAACCCUUCUUUGCAAGCACUUAGACAAAAAAAGAGGCCAUGAAACCUAGGGUUUUUGCUUGGGUGCUCUGGUACAUGCCUAGUAGUAACAAUACAUCUAGAGCCUGGGUUUGUAUCCAACACAGCCUGCAAAUAAUCUCUUAUUCUAGUGUAUUGUCCUCUCUGAUCUCCUUGGACAACCUUCAAUGCUUGCUUCCUAGCCCUGUAGGCCAUAUGGGUGGACAUCUCUAUUCCAUAUUUCUUCUUCAGUGUCUGCAUUAUUGUGAUGACUGGUGUGCCAAUAUCAACUCUCAUCAUUGCCUCACACUGGUGUGCAACCCAUUUUGCAGUGACCUUGGUGUUCUCUCCUACUGCUGGGCAUGUGUGCACAAAAUUUGCCUUCCUUAUGCAAAAAGUAGUCUCAUUUGCAACAACAGAAGCUGCAAUAAAGAAAGGGCAUUUUGCAUUUGUGCACACAACUAUGAUGUUGUCAUUGCAGUUUCUGUGGAACUCAUAAUUCCUAUUCUGAGUUAUGUGCAAUGUCUGAAUUGCUCUCCUAAACUGAUACACAUUUAGGAAACAAAGUUGUCUGCAAAACUGCUCCUAUGGGUUCUCUCUCUCCUCACUGUACCAGAUCCUUGGCAAAGAUCUCACUGAUCUGCUCUUCCUUCCAUUGGGCAGAACAAAUUGUACUUCCUCAGCUCCAUCAUCAUAUUCUUGCUUCAAAGCACCAAGAUCUGGCUCCUCAUCUGAUGGUGGUGCCCAAACAUCCUCAAAUCUCUGUUCCAAGCUAGAAUGUGACCUCUCUGUUGGCCCUUUUCUAGCUUUAUUCUUCUUUGUAGGCACCUCUUGGUGCUCCACCUGCUCAUCUUGCUCCACCUGCUCCUCUUGGUGCACCUGCUCCUCUUGCUCCACCUCCUCAUCUUCCUCAUACAGUUCGUCCACAUCAGUGUCUCCGUCAAAAUGAAUGAGUGGAUCCUCUCUUUGCUUCCUCAUCUCAUUAAGCCUUUGAAGAUAGUCCUCAUCUGCAUCCAGAUCUGAAUCAUCUUCAGUUAGAAGAAUUGGUAGCUUCUGCUUAACCUUAUUUACAUGCUCAGCUGCAAUCUUAUGUUUCCUAAAUUUGGCAAUCUUCGUUCUCCUCUUCAACUCCAUUAAUGUCUCCAGUUCAUCCUGAUCUGCUGCAUUGGAUUGGUCCAUGGCAGCAUUUGUAUCCAGAUCAUGGUUUGUGCUCUGUUGUGUAGUGUAGAACCGCAAUGGCUCUGGCUGACUCUGUAUUAUACUUUUUGGUGGUGAUCUUAAGAUAACACCAGAAGGAUUUACUACAUAUACAUGGUUCUCUCCUAUAUGGCUCAAAGGAACCUGCUCAUCAACCAGAUAGCCUGAGUUCAAAUCUGCAGGUCUUGGAUCAGUGCCCCUAACCACUGUCAAGUUCACUACAUGCUGAUCAUUGUUAGCAAUAUGGUCAGGCAUUUCAUCCACCUUUUCAUCAUCACAAAUUUCAUCCAUUCCUGUAAUCCCCACACCAGGAUCCCUCAGAAAAUACAUGAAAUCAUUAAGCCCAUAUCCCUCCGUCUCUAUUAGGGCAACCAAAUUAUAAUAUGUUAUGUCUGAAAUGCAAACUGAUCUCUCCAAGUUGUCUCUGUCAUGGAAGUGCAUUCUAACUUCCCAAACAUCAUCACUCAAACUACACACAAAUAAUUAAAAUAGCUUAAUUAAUAGAGCACUAAAACAGAGCACCAAUGUACUGUAAAAAAAUGCAUAAUUCCUAAAACAGAGCACCAAUGUACAGUACACUCUGAAAACAACAAACACCUUCUGAAAACUAGCUACUCUGUUAACUACUCUGUCAACUAGCUACUCUGUUAACUACUCUGUCAACUAACUACUCUGUUAACUACAAAUCAACCGCAACUAAAUCACAAUUAAGAGAGCACCAAUUAACAGUGCCAAAAAACCUAACCCUAACCCUAGAAUCGAUCUACAUGAAGAGGGAAGAGCGAAGAGGGAAGAGGGAAGAGGAAACUCACUAGACGCCGCCGAAUGAGGAGGCAAUCCGAUGACUCUCCGACGGAUUCUCCUUCACUGCCCUGGCCCAAGAUCUUGCCACCGCAUAUUCGAGACAGUGCUGGGGGCUCUGGCUGGGGAUGCUAGUAUCCGACGGCCAGCUAGGGUUUGAGCUCCCGCAUAUAUCUCCCACAGGUGGACCAUCAUGUCCAACGCCGGCAGACCCGCCGCAGUCGCCGCCUGCGCCGCCAGCAAUCGCCAUGAUUGAGAGGAGAGAGUGCGGGGGAGGAAAAGAGAGUGAGAGGAGCGGACCGGGCGGGGUACGGCUCGAAGACUAAGCGGUCCGGCUCAAACCGGUGCGCCAGCGGCGUGUAACGCCGUCUAACGGCGUUGCCGUGUGAACAGUGCUGCCACGUCGACGGAUGCGGGCCCCCUUGUCAUAAACGCACUUAAAACGGUCCAAACAAGCAACUAGUGUUUAUGCAAAAGUUUAUGAAAAAAAUUAGUGUUUUUUGGCACAAUUUCGUAUAUGUGUGGUACCUGCAAACCUAGCCUGAAGUGUCGAUGUUUUUUGCAAUUCACUCAAAGCAGGAGCUACAGCUGGGGUGGUUCUCGCACAUUGUACCUGAAGAAUUGGUGGUAUUCUGCCUGUUUUGUCUCUUCAUCCAGCAGCAAACAUAUGUCGGAUGUGCAUUUUUUUGCAGAGACAAUGUGCGUCGUGUCUCCAGCCUCCGUAUGGGUACGCGAAGAUCUAUGGAAUUGAUAAUCUAUAUGGUCCGCGAUGGAACAAACUCAUUUGCCUGAGAUGUCAUUUAUCAAUAAGAAACGUGGUUGUCAUAUUAGGCUGGCUGAACCAAUAAACCAUGUUUGCCGUUAAGAAGUGGGUUUCUUUCUUUGUCAUGCCCCUUCAGAAAUUCUUCAGAAACAUCAGGUACGCUAUGUUGUCCGUGGCAUGUGGGAAAAGGUUGUAAAUUUAGCUAAAUAUCUCAUUAAAAUGGUCUAAAAAAGAAGAGAAACUCUUCCCUUUCUUGAUUAUUUUGUAGCAGUUGCAACUAGAAUAUUCUACUUAUGAUUUUGCCUCAUCUUUAUGUUUCUGAAGAAUAAGAUGGGAGACAAAAGGACAUAUGAUUUUCCAAGAUUUUGAAAGUGCGUCCUAAACUUUAUGUACAUGUAUGAGAAGAUAGAUUUAGAUUUGAAUAAAUUCAAUAGCUAGAGAAGGCCAAAACAUCCUGGCAUGACAAAAUCAAAGGUGUCUCAGAUAAAGAAAAAUAGUUGCUAACGGGCUCCUCAUGGGUCGUCUGGGAUAAAAACUUACAAGUGGUUUCACCCCAACCCACAAGUCCAUCUGCCGAUGUCCGGAAUGUGUCACAUUUCCCCAACGGACCUUCAUAAAUUUUUGCUCUAGAGGAGGUUGUCCUAAGGAGGACCAUAUCAAUCACUUUGUACAUUUUGAAACAGAACCGAGACCAAAUUUAUGCUAUAUACGGUUUCUGGUCUACGGUAUAGUAUGAAAUGUAAAAACCAUUUAGAACUAGAUUUCUCCAGUAUAAAACUGAAAAAAAUCGGUAAAACAGAAAAUCCUGAUGUAGUCUUUUUUAUUAUCAAGCCCAGCCCAGCAGGACAAGGCCACUAAUCAAAUUGAGCCCACUAGCCACUAGCGGCGUGGAGGGAGGACCGAAGCGGCAUCCAACGCCCAACCAAAUAUGGAUGCAUCUUUUUUUCCAGACAUAAAUAUGGAUGCAUCUGAUGUGGCCUGCCUGGAUUACCAUAUAUGUGCUGCCAGUGAUGGCAUGUUUUGUACUAGGGGAACAGGCUUCAGGAACACUAAUUCAUAACACAUCUGCAUGACUCAUUAAAAAAAUCAGGGUAAAUUAUUAAUUUUUAGUCCAUUUUAUCUCGAAUAAGUGCUUUGCCACAUAUGGGUAUGCUACUUACAUUGGACGAUUAAUAAAAAAUAACUUAGUUAUUUCCUUGUAGAUGCAUACAGUUUUUUUUAGCAAAAUGGGCCACAAUCAAGACAAUCACAUAUAUAGAUGGUGGUUUAGUCUACAAAUUGGCCCUUCAUCAGCUUAUGCUGCAUUUUUUCCAUUUUGUUAGAGUUAUGGUUGUUAUUUAGGUAAAUACAUAGGAGCUUGCGGGUGCCCUUGUAUAUAAAUAUUAAAUAUUAAAAUAAAAAAUACCAGGAAAAUAAAAAAAAA
rnacentral:lncRNA from 1 species